UGGGGAAUAUUGCACAAUGGGCGAAAGCCUGAUGCAGCAACGCCGCGUGAGGGAAGACGGUUUUCGGAUUGUAAACCUCUGUUUUCGGUGACGAACAAAUGACGGUAACCGAGUAGGAAGCCACGGCUAACUACGUGCCAGCAGCCGCGGUAAUACGUAGGUGGCAAGCGUUAUCCGGAAUUACUGGGUGUAAAGGGAGCGCAGGCGGGAUAGCAAGUCAGCUGUGAAAACUAUGGGCUCAACCCAUAAACUGCAGUUGAAACUGUUAUUCUUGAGUGGAGUAGAGGUAAAUGGAAUUCCUAGUGUAGCGGUGGAAUGCGUAGAUAUUAGGAGGAACACCAGUGGCGAAGGCGAUUUACUGGACGAUAACUGACGCUGAGGCACGAAAGCGUGGGGAGCAAACAGGAUUAGAUACCCUGGUAGU
rnacentral:rRNA from 1 species